ACUAACAUUGUAGUAUAAGUAUAAGCUGGCUGUCAAAUGACUUCUGUUAUUCAUGCUGGGAAGAAACACAGUGUUAUCUGUGAAGAUCAACAUUAAGUCCUCAUAGGAAGCAGCUACAUGUAAACAUACACACAACAUGAGUGCAGUGCAAACAGGAACUGCUAAUAGAGAACUCAGCAUACAUUUAAUGGUGUAAAUUAGCCAACUAAUAUUGGCUGAAAACUGGGAGCAAAGGCAAUACCAGUCCAUACCUGUAACUGGUGUUACAACAGCCCAUUUUAUGAGCUUUUAUUGGGUCUUUCUUUCCUGAUGGUUCUAUGUUUUACUGUCCACAUUGGUUCCCAAACAGGCCAAUACAGUAUGUUGGUGUUGGCAUUUUUCUAUGUCAUUGUUCCAACAGUGAUUUAAAAGACAUGUUUCUGACCUUUCACCCACACAUUAUACUUAUAACUUAUAUUCAAGUUUCAAGAUCCAACACUGAAUUAUUAUUAUUAUUAUCAUUAUAAUUAUUAUUAUUAUUAGCAUAUUUUAUUUCACAAUGUUUGGGAUAAUGACAGACCAGGACAUCAGAUUCUUUAAUCUAAUUUGCAUAAAUUGGUUGUUUGAAUCUCAUUUUUGGUUUUUAUAAUUUACUUUUAUCACUUUCCUUCUGUGUCUUAUCACUGUAGGAAUAAACUACAGUACAGCUGAUAAUGAGCUAUAAUAACUAAUAGAUGACACAGAUUGAGAAAAUGUGAUCAAAUGUGUGUCUAGACUGGGAUAAAAACGGAAAAAAAAAACAAUUACAAAUUAUUUCAUAAAGCCGAUAGGAUCAAAGUCUGCUGAAAAGUGUAACAAAAGAGUGGUUUUUAAGUUAAUUAUUUGAUAGCUUAAAAAAUGAGACCUUGCCCAAGUUUUUUGGUUGCCUAUAACAGCCUGUGCACUGAUUUCUAUGUAAAAGACUCCCGCCCCCCCUACAGUGCCAACAGGAUCUAACACUAGCUAACAUUAGCUUAGAAGUUGAGUCUGCUAAAAGUCAACAAAGGACCGGCACCCACCACAACACAGAGUUCAAUACAAAGUCGACCUCAGCACAACAACAACAACAACAACAACAACAAAAGUUUUAUCUAGUGAAGCCCAUUUGGCCAAAUGGCAAUGUGACUGAUGUCAGGGGAAAACUAGGGUCAACAUCAGCUGUACAUUCGAGACAUUAAGGGCCUUUCAUUGAUUUUGGGGAUCAAAACUGACCGCGAGCUGGCCUUCUUCCUAUUGGACAGCUAAGCUAAUGUUACUGCAAAGAAUGUGAAAUAUACUGUGACAUUGUGGGUUUAGCUGGCUAAUGUUAGCUAACAUUAGCUUGCUUGCUAACGUGGACAAAUUGCUAUCUAGCUAACGUAAAGUACUGUCUUCAGUGGAUAACGUUAGCUAAUUCAUCAAGACUCCCGGGGCUGAUCUGGCUGGUAGAUUGGCUAGCUUGCUGUUUGCAAAUAAUUUUAUCAGCUAACGUUACAGGUUACAAAGCAACCAACAUAUCCAAGUAGCUAAGUUACAGCUAGCUUGCUAACCUUGACUUGCUUGCUCACUAAUGUUAUCAGCAUUCUAAAUAUGAUUGUAUUUUUUCCCAGCUAUUAGAAGAAGCCAACCACAGCAAAGUCAGGGUCCAACUACAUCGACACCAUGUCCCAGCCAGCUCUCCAUCAUUAAUUAUUCUCUCAAUAGGUUGCAUAACUGGAGAAAGGAAGAUACAAGGAUUGAGGUGUAAUCCAUUCACUGGACAUCUGGCAUGCGGCCAAAAAUCUGACCAAGAAACUUCAUAUGAUAUAAGUGAAAACAAGUUGACAUUACUUUGUUCAUUUCAGUGAGUACCGGUGUACCAUUGUUUUUUUUCCUUACAUGUUUGCCCUAUUGUUUUUAUCUUCUGUAAAUUGAAUUUCGAUGAAAAUGCCUGCUUUUUUUUUUAAAAUUUGUUCACAGGUUGGGAUGAUAUCUGGUCGGUCAGCCAUACUUGUCUGUUUGAAGAAUAACGUCAAACAUUUUUGGUUUUGUUGCCAGAAGGCGGACAAUUGAGAGGAUAUCAUGGUGAGCAAAAUGGCCUUUCACAAGGUAAUACAACCAAUUUAAAAUGAAGCACGUUUCAGUUGUCACCAGUUCAUUUUGUUUUGAUUCACUGCACAUAGUGCAGCCCUUAAUUGGAUCAGGCAGGCAGGAGCAGAGGUGGAACAACUACUUCCUGGAAGGUGCGUCUUGUAGGACUGGGUUGAGGAAACACUGGUUCUAAUUCUUGCUAUUUUUUCUCUCUCCAUAAAGGACAUAGCUUCAGCCACAUGAGCAAUGAGAGACAAUGGGCAAGAAAGCGAGAAGUCCUGAGAGUAUGGUUUUCAGUACCAUUUGUAGUUUUUUAGUUUGUACUUUUAUAAAAUAAAAGACCUUGUAUUACAAAUAAAAUGUAGUUUACUAUGAGGCAAUGAACUCACACGCAGGAACACUGACCACAGUUUAUCAUUUCAUCUAAAUGGUGCUUCCUUGAAGCCAACAUAGUUACUAAAGGGGUCAGGGUAUUUUUCUCUAAUCCUCCACACGCUGCAGCUCUGUAUCACCACCCGCUUCCUGGUUCCCAGAUGUCCACGUUGCCAGAUGGUGAACUGGCGGUAUGCAGAGUAUCGAUAGUCUCUGUUGUCGGCCCCUAGAUCCUGGCAGUCAUUGAGUGCAAGAAUGUCCAUGUCUGCUGAGCCAGACGCAGGAUGCCCUCUUUGAGACAUUUAAGUUCCAUAUGGGCCCUCCUGCUGAGACACCUCUCUGGAUCCUGUACCAUGCUUGCUGUCCUCUAUUUGGAAUAUGUGCUCCUGGUGUCGCUUGCCGGAAGUCCGUAAUGUCAAGGAAAACCCCUGGAUGACAGGUGACCAUCAUCUACAGGACUUCAUCCUUCUCUGCUUGGGUCAAUUGUUGCAAUUCUGUCUGAAAAUUGAGCAAGA